rnacentral:lncRNA from 1 species
AUGGACAGCAGGUUAAACGAGAAUCCUGCGAGAACCUUUGAUUUGGCUCUUCAGGUUGCAUGUCCAUCAUCUGAACAUGAAGAUCCGACAGUGCUGUGGAAGUUCCCUCAGGACUUUGGAGACCAGGAGGUCCUGCAGACAGUGCCUAAGUUCUGCUUCCCAUUUGACGUUGAAAGAGUGUCCCAGACUCAGGUGGGCCAGAACUUCACAUUUGUGCUCACAGACAUUGAGAGCAAGCAGAGGUUUGGUUUCUGUCGGCUGACAUCCGGCUGCAGGGUCUGCAUCUGUUUGCUCAGUUAUAUCCCAUGGUUUGAGAUUUAUUAUAAGAUGCUAAAUACCCUUGCAGACUACUUAUCAAAACACCAGGAAGAAGACUUGAAUGACAUGUUGGAAACGCUGCACACCUACCCGGUGCCAAAGCCGAAUACGCCAGUGAAUCUGAGUGUGCAUUCAUACUUCAUAGCUCCUGAUAUUAAUGGACUCCCCACCAUACCUGAAAAUAGAAAUUUAACAGAGUACUUUGUAGCAGUGGAUGUGAACAACAUGUUGCACCUCUACGCCAGCAUGCUGCAUGAGCGACGCAUCAUCAUUACCUCAAGCAAGCUUAGCACUUUAACUGCAUGCGUGCAUGGGUCCACCGCCAUGCUCUACCCUAUGCACUGGCAGCACAUCUUCAUUCCUGUACUUCCUCCUCACCUGCUGGAUUACUGCUGUGCGCCCAUGCCAUAUCUGGUCGGAGUUCAUCUCAGCCUUUUAGAGAGAGUAAAGAGCAGAUCCCUGGAGGAUGUGGUCAUUCUGAACGUGGACACAAACACCCUGGAAAGCCCUGCAGAUGACCUCCACAACCUGCCCAGUGAUGUGGUCUCCAGUCUGAAGAGUAAGCUGAAAAAGCAGUCGACUGCUACAGGCAGCGGGGUUGCUCGGGCCUUUCUGCAUGCUCAGGCUGCGCUGUUUGGCUCCUAUCGGGACGCCCUGAGAUAUAAACCAGUAAGACUGUCGCUCUUCAAGUUCUGUGCAAAAUAUCACCUCAUCAUCACAUUAUCAACACUAUGUAUCGUCUUGAUUUUCAUGUUGAAUAUUUCAGAUGAGCCUGACACUAAGAGUCAAAGCCUUUUCAAGACACAGAAAGGCUGAAAGAAAGGGAAAAAUAGGUGCAGGGAAAGGUGGGCCUGCCUACAUAGCCGAAAUGUCAGAUGUUGAAAAGCCCGGACAGUCUCUUUGAAGUCUCAGGCUCUUUGUGGUCUUCUCAGACCCUCUAAACUCCUGAAAUGUGCCUCUUGGUUUCAUGAGUGGCGUUGAGGAAAACAAAGUGCGCUCUCUGUUUGUCAAAUGUGGCCAUCUUUGUUGGCAAGGCAGAGAGUAAUUGGUUUGUGUAGACCCACAGAGCGAAGAUACAUUAUUGAUGUUUCAACGGUUGUGCACAAACUGUCUUUUCGCUGCUAGAAAAAAAUACACACACGCUCGAAGUCAAGUCUGCGCAACUCUUAGCCUUCAAAGCGGUGCCUCAAUUGAGCACAUUGUCUGCAAAUCUACAUGGAAUUACUGCUGUUUUUAUUCUUUUUUUUUUUAUUGAAAGCCCUCAGUCAUGGCACUUUCAUUUGCUUCGCAUUUGCUUUAAGACACAAGCUCAAAUACGGAGCGCUCUUUUGACAGUUGGCCCUAUAGCUCAUUAGGAUUCUGAGAAGUCGAACAAUUGAAAAUCAGCCUUUGUGCUGCUUUAUUUUGAUUAAUAUUUCACUUUGUUAUUACUGAGACCAAAAACCACCCUUCUGUCUUUGAAAUGACAGCAUUGCAGUGCUGUUUAGCUGAAAACAUUGCAUUAGUUGCAAUCGUUUAUUAUAAAAUCAGUAAUUUAUGCAUCAUUCCUCCUGCAUGCAUCUGAAAUGCGAUAGCGGUAUUUGAUUUUACACAUCCAGCAUUACUGUCAUGUUCUGCGAUAAUGGCUUUUCUUCUGUGUGCUGCAUUUCUAAAGAGGUUCUUCCAUUUGCAACGAAUCAUCUGUGUGAAAUACCACUCUGCUUUAUGGAGCCCAUAUGCUUUCCCAUCAGCGCCUUAGCAGAACGCCACCAUCUAACUGAGCUGUAAAUGAAACAAUGCAGGGAAAUCAUAAUUAGCUCCCAUGCAAAAGUCAGCAGUCAUGGACUAAUAUAGGUCACUGUAGUGCGAUACCUCACGGGGCUCUUUUGUUAUUGACCCCCAAGCACCAGGAGUGAUGGUAACAAAUGUGUAGAUAAGACAAGUUUUAAGCCACACCAUUUAGCUGCUGUGAAAGUGAAUUAUACAAAUUUAUAAUUGGAUUAUAAUUAGAACAAAAAAAGAUUGAGACUCAUUCGUUCUGUUGAAAUAAAUGUAAUCACACUCAAUUCA